GUAGCCGCCCGGGACCUGCCUGGAGGUGCGCAGCCGCCAUGCCUCCAUGCCGCGCGGAUAGCAGAAAUUAAAGUGAGAAAACGAGGAUUUGGUCCUUUCUUUUCCUUUAACAGCCGAUUUUCCUGCUCUAGCGCAACUUUGAAUCUCCACUGAUGCAAGAAGUCCCAGAGCACCAAGGCAACGGCACAGAUAGUUCGGGUAGCAGUUUGGGAAGCACUGUCACAGCAUGUAAAAAGAUCCUCUGCAGUAAUAGCCUGCUAGAAUCAACAGACUACUGGCUGCAGAAUCAGAGGACACCAUGCCAAAUUGGCUUUCUGGAAGACAAAUCAGAAAGCAACUGUGCCUCAGAGAAAAAUGAAGUUGAUACCACACCAAUGUUUAUAGUUGCCUGCUAAGCCAACGCCAUUUGUAGUGAAGGGCCCAAGGAGAUGGAAAGGAAUGGAAUUAGCACUGCUGACUUAAGCUGCCCAGAGUGAUAUUCCAUACUGUAUGACAUCCAGUAGAAGGAGUUUUGAAGGAGAUGAGAGUUCAUCUCUCAUUCUCUUCAAGUGCUCAGGGAGCUAGCUGGGCAUCGGUCAGGGGAUGGUGAGCAAUUACUUGUGCAUCAUUUGUUGCAAAUGUUUAUAUACAUAUAUAAAGUCAUAACUAUUUUUAUUUUCCUUUUCUCUAUCUUACUAAAUAGUUUUAUUUCAACCCACAUAAGUUCUAUUUUGCUUUUUUUUUUAUUCUCUCCCUCACUACACUGGGAAGGAGUGGAGUGAGCAAACAGUGGUGUGGUACUGAGCCACCCAUUGGGUUAAAACACUUCGAUAUUAACGAGCAAUGUUUAGUGGUACUGAUUUCUAAAACUCCCAGAAUCAGACAGAGUGCAGUUUUCUGUUCUUCUGCAUGUAAUCUCCCUAAGAGAGAUGUCACAAUAUUAGGAAGUAUACAACAUGGUUCAAUCAGAGCUGGAAAGCUAUGAUUUGAGCAGUACCCUGAAUAUAUUCAUGACCAGAACAAGAAAUCAGGCAGGUAAUCGGGAUUGCUUUUAAGGCAAAAGGAGUUUACCACGGUCGCUUGGUUUUACUAUUCUAUAUUUCAUUCUGACAGACCCUUUUCUUAUUUGAGAGGAUAACCAGGAUAUGCUUUGAGACAAGAUCUGGCAUGUUAUCUUCUCCUAUUGCCUGCUCACUCCUUGCAUAGCGUGCUCAGAAAACAGCUAGAUUUCCCUGUGCAGCUUUGUGAACACAGUGCCUACUCCACAUGCACAUUCACACACACAAUGUUCUGUAAUUUUCAGAGCGAGAUUUUAGUACCUAGUUCAUUCUGUAAUUAUUGCUAAUAUUACUACAGUAGAAAAAAAGAUUGUGCUGGAAUAGAGAUUGUACUGAACUAUAUGACUUUGUAUUCACAAGGCAGAAGUAGAAUUUACAGUUUUAAAGUAAAACUGAAACAUCAUGCAUAGAGAGCAUUCAUUUAGAAACUAAGUAAUUAAAUAUCAUUUUGGAGCAUCCCUCUUCGCACCAAAAAAGGUGUCACUGUUAAAUAGUUACUCUAAGUGUUAUGAGCAGAGCUGAAGUUUUGUUCAUAUUCCUGUUUAAUUUAUUCUGAGUGGCAAUACAGGACAGAAUUUUAAUUUAAGUCCUAAAAUGUUACACAACUAAUGCAGUAUACUAGGAAACUUUCACAUAUAUCAUCAAACUUAAUAUGUAGACUAGAGUGUAAGCACACUGUUUUUGUUUUUCUCCAGAAUUGCUCUUUCCAUCUCAGGUAUGCCAGUAGUGUAUCUGGGUGGGCACAGUGCUCGAGCAAACUAGGGAACAGGGGAAACAGAGGACACUUAACCACUGUGUGAGGAUUAAGCAUUAGUUCAGCAUUCUACUCAGAAAGCAUUUCAUUCUGAGUCCUUUCCAAUGUCUGUUGUUAAAUGAGAGGAGACUGCAGGAACAAAGAAGGACAUGAACAUGGAGCACUUUCCCUAGCUUCUCCAAUAGCCAGCAAACCAGACUGCCAUUAACAGAAAAUAAAUUCUUCUCCUUCAUGGAGAUUUUUUAAAUUGCCGUUGCCACCAGUGCCAGAGAUGUUUUAAAGUUGCCAUUAUUUUUGCAGAAUGAAAAAAGAAAUCUAAGUUGUGCUACAUCACUAAUGGAUACUUUUCUUAAAGAUAACUAGUAAUACAUUUAGCUAUAAUGUUCAGUUUUCCUUUGGAAGAGUUUAUGUGUAGUUAUGUCUAAUCUCACUAGAACUACAAAUGCAACAAGACUAUAUGAACAUUGACUUCAUAAAUGUUGUGUUCAUCGUCUCCCAUUACAGAUUAGCACAUUUAGUACAAGUAAAAACAGAUUCGUGUCUGUCCUACACAUGCUCACCAAUUGUACUAAUGUUGAUUUAUUAAAACAUUAAACACUUAACUCAGCUAUAACAGACUGCUUUUCCAUAGAGAGAUUUUUAACAAAGAAUGGGCAUUUGAGUACAUAUAAUAGUCCAUUAAAUUCCAAGCUAGCUAUAUCUUAUGAUAUGAAAAUAAUAAAUUGUGUGAGAGGAAAAAUAUUUCAUAUUUGUUGGACAUCUUUUCCUGGGCUCUGAAAAUAGAAAUGUUCAUGUGGUACAUUUUUUCAUUACAUCAAGCUCUGGUAGUUUUUCAUACUAAAAGAAAUACUAUCGCUUCCAUAUUUAAUCCAGUGGUUGUGGAUGUCUGCAAAGAUGAACAGUAGAAGUCAUAGGAAGAAAUAACAAGUAAAUGUGAUGUCUGUUCUCUGUCUUUAUGCCAGCUCCGUGGUAUGUUAUCUAUUAAAAGUGUUAUGUGUAUUUUGAGUAUGACAUAAACAGAAUUUGAAAGACUAUCUUACCCUAAUUUUCUUUUUCUACUUUCAGUAGAUGUGUAGGAACAAACUUUUGUCCAAAUGUGUUUACACUUAGGAAAUCAAAUGAGGUGCACUGGAAUUUAGUGCAAGUGGACAGGGCUAAUUGUGUUAGUCAUUAGGACUUUGUAGGAAGAACUCCCACAGAGGCUAAUCAGAAAGGGUUAGCUGAAAGAGGUAUCUGUGAGCUUGAACUGUAGGCCUUUGAGAGAGAAUGAAGAUGAAUGCUAGACUGUAGUGCGAUUUUCUUACAAAAGUUCAUAACGGAUCUACGUUAAGUGUCCUGGAGUUGAGGUGCGCUACCCUCCACACUUCAGGUGAUCCUAUUAGAUUUUGCUAUACUGCCUACUUGAAAAGUUUAGACUCCUAUGAAGAACUUCUACACUGGUGCUAUGAGGGUAUGUAGUAGAACAGUCUACCAUCUGAAUUUUUUCAUCCUUAGAGAAUGAGUAAUUAGCAAACAUUGAAUUAAAUUAUGAUUAAAAUGAUACUGCUUUGCAACAAUUUACCUGCUGCAAAUUAAGUACAUAGUUUUGCACUAUUUUCAUAAUUAGAUAAAUUUUCAAUGUAGUUUAAUUACAUAAGUCUUAUUUCGUUUGUUUAAACUGAGAACUUAGUCAAAAUCUGUCAAACAGAAUAAAGCUCAUGUAUUUAUAAGACACAGUCAUUCAUAAGCUGACAAAUGUGAUUAAAAUAUUUGCAAUGAGACUUUUUUGUUAUCUCACAGAGAGACCCU